ACGUGCUCGGGAAUCACAGUCAAGUCUGGAACUGAGAACCCGAACCUACAUUAUAGGGAAAAAUGUAGCCCACUGAAAAAUGUAGUCUCGAAUAACUGUGUGCUACAUUUUUCCCUAUAAUGUAGGUUCAGGUGCUCAGUUCCAGACUUAACGGUGAUUCCCGAGCACGU
rnacentral:pre_miRNA from 1 species